GAUGACCACCGAAUGCCGCGCGCACCGCGACUAGGGAUACAUUUUUAGGCCAACCGCAGGACAAAGCCGACGGGAAGCCACUUUACGACCCCCGCACAUCUCAACAAUCCCACUAAAGGACUGCGGAGGUUUGGAGGGCAACGGUGCGUGACGCCCAGGCAGACGUGCCCUCGGCCUAAAGGCUUCGGGCGCAACUUGCGUUCAAAGACUCGAUGGUUCACGGGAUUCUGCAAUUCACACCACGUAUCGCAUUUCGCUGCGUUCUUCAUCGAUGCACGAGAGUACGUCC
rnacentral:misc_RNA from 1 species